rnacentral:rRNA from 1 species
GACGCUGGCGGCGUGCCUAAUACAUGCAAGUCGAACGGCUUUUCUAUGGAAGCUUGCUUCCACUGAAAAGAUAGUGGCGAACGGGUGAGUAACACGUGGGUAACCUGCCCAUAAGAGGGGGGAUAACAUCCGGAAACGGGUGCUAAUACCGCAUAGUUUUCUUGAUCGCAUGAUCGGGAAAGGAAAGACGGCCUUUGUGCUGUCGCUUAUGGAUGGACCCGCGGCGUAUUAGUUAGUUGGUGAGGUAACGGCUCACCAAGACGAUGAUACGUAGCCGACCUGAGAGGGUGAUCGGCCACAUUGGGACUGAGACACGGCCCAAACUCCUACGGGAGGCAGCAGUAGGGAAUCUUCCGCAAUGGACGAAAGUCUGACGGAGCAACGCCGCGUGAGUGAAAGAAGGUUUUUCGGAUCGUAAAACUCUGUUGUCAGAGAAGAACAAGUUGGAGAGUAACUGCUCCAGCCUUGACGGUAUCUGACCAGAAAGCCACGGCUAACUACGUGCCAGCCGCCGC